GCCUCGGGAGGCAGCAGUCGGGAAUAUUGCGCAAUGGAGGAAACUCUGACGCAGUGACGCCGCGUGCAGGAAGAAGGUUUUCGGAUUGUAAACUGCUUUAGACAGGGAAGAUACAAGACAGUACCUGUAAAAUAAGCUCCGGCUAACUACGUGCCAGCAGCCGCGGUAAUACGUAGGGAGCAAGCGUUAUCCGGAUUUAUUGGGUGUAAAGGGUGCGUAGACGGGAAGGCAAGUUGGUUGUGAAAUCCCUCGGCUUAACUGAGGAACUGCAACCAAAACUAUCUUUCUUGAGUGCUGGAGAGGAA
rnacentral:rRNA from 1 species